AGAGUUUGAUCCUGGCUCAGGACGAACGCUGGCGGCGUGCCUAAUACAUGCAAGUCGAACGCUCUUUGUUUCCUUCGGGAAACAAGGGGAGUGGCGGACGGGUGAGUAACACGUAGGCAACCUGCCUGUAAGCUGGGGAUAACUAACGGAAACGUUAGCUAAUACCGAAUAGAUGGCGAAGGGGCAUCCCUUUGCCCGGAAAGACGGGUUAAACUGUCGCUUACAGAUGGGCCUGCGGCGCAUUAGCUAGUAGGUGAGGUAACGGCUCACCUAGGCGACGAUGCGUAGCCGACCUGAGAGGGUGAACGGCCACACUGGGACUGAGACACGGCCCAGACUCCUACGGGAGGCAGCAGUAGGGAAUCUUCGGCAAUGGACGAAAGUCUGACCGAGCAACGCCGCGUGAGUGAUGAAGGUUUUCGGAUCGUAAAGCUCUGUUGCCAGGGAAGAGAAGCCUUAUGUUAACUGCAUAAGGUGUGACGGUACCUGAGAAGAAAGCCCCGGCUAACUACGUGCCAGCAGCCGCGGUAAUACGUAGGGGGCAAGCGUUGUCCGGAAUUAUUGGGCGUAAAGCGCGCGCAGGCGGUUGCUUAAGUCUUAUGUUUAAACCUGAGGCUCAACCUUGGGGCGCAUGGGAAACUGGGCGACUGGAGUGCAGGAGAGGAAAGUGGAAUUCCACGUGUAGCGGUGAAAUGCGUAGAGAUGUGGAGGAACACCAGUGGCGAAGGCGACUUUCUGGCCUGUAACUGACGCUGAGGCGCGAAAGCGUGGGGAGCAAACAGGAUUAGAUACCCCAGUAGUCC
rnacentral:rRNA from 1 species